rnacentral:rRNA from 1 species
AUUGAACGCUGGCGGCAUGCUUUACACAUGCAAGUCGAACGGCAGCGCGGGCUUCGGCCUGGCGGCGAGUGGCGAACGGGUGAGUAAUGCAUCGGAACGUGCCCAGUAGUGGGGGAUAGCCCGGCGAAAGCCGGAUUAAUACCGCACACGACCUGCGGGUGAAAGCGGGGGACCGAAAGGCCUCGCGCUAUUGGAGCGGCCGAUGUCGGAUUAGCUAGUUGGUGGGGUAAAGGCUUACCAAGGCGGCGAUCCGUAGCUGGUCUGAGAGGACGACCAGCCACACUGGGACUGAGACACGGCCCAGACUCCUACGGGAGGCAGCAGUGGGGAAUUUUGGACAAUGGGGAGAACCCUAAUCCAGCCAUGCCGCGUGCGGGAAGAAGGCCUUCGGGUUGUAAACCGCUUUUGUUCGGGAAGAAAUACUCUGGGCUAAUACCCCGGGGGGAUGACGGUACCGGAAGAAUAAGCACCGGCUAACUACGUG